rnacentral:misc_RNA from 1 species
CAGAGUUGCAAAACUCCCUAAACCAUUGUGAACGUUACCUUCAAACCGUUGCUUCGGCGGGCGGCCCGGGUCCGCCCGGUGCCCCCUGGCCCCCUAGCGGGGCGCCCGCCGGAGGAAAACCCAACUCUUGAUUAUUAUGGCCUCUCUGAGUCUUCUGUACUGAAUAAGUCAAAACUUUCAACAACGGAUCUCUUGGUUCUGGCAUCGAUGAAGAACGCAGCGAAAUGCGAUAAGUAAUGUGAAUUGCAGAAUUCAGUGAAUCAUCGAAUCUUUGAACGCACAUUGCGCCCGCCAGUAUUCUGGCGGGCAUGCCUGUUCGAGCGUCAUUUCAACCAUCAAGCCCCAGGCUUGUGUUGGGGACCUGCGGCUGCCGCAGGCCCUGAAAACCAGUGGCGGGCUCGCUGUCACACCGGGCGUAGUAGAUUUUAUCUCGCUCUGGGCGUGCUGCGGGUUCCGGCCGUUAAAAAACCCUUUUAACCCAAG